CAUGAAGCCCUUCACGGAAGGUGUGAUGGCUUCCCGUGAAGCGCUUUCUCAGACAUUCACCACCCCUUCACAUGUCCUUGUCCUUCUCCCCUUCAGUCUGUCCCUAUAGUCACGAGUCGCAGUAGCAGAGCAUCAGAUCAGAGUACAAGCCAUACAACGUCGCCAUGAAUCCAGCUGCAAUCUCGCUGGUCAUCUUCCUCUUCUCCAUCUCAGCUGUCGCUCGUCUACAACCCCAUCGCGUCUCCAACAUCACCGUGCUCGGUUCAGUCUACUGCGAUGCCUGCUCCGACAACAGCUUCUCCAAGAACAGCUACUUCUUGCGAGGAGCACAAGUGGUGGUGCAAUGCAAGUUCGCCGUAGUCAACUCCACCUCCCAAGAAGAAAUGUCGAUCACGGCUUAUCGGACUACCGACCGAUUCGGCGUCUACAAGCUGGACAUCCCACCGGUGGACGGCCUUGAGUGUCACGAAGGCCGAGAGGUGAAGUCCAUGUGCCGCGCCAUCCUCGUCAGGAGCUCCUCCGCGCGCUGCAACACCACCGGCUUCACCCGGAGCUCCACCGCCCACGUAGCCUUCAAGGACCGCGAGACCGGUGCCUGCUACUACAAUCUCAACGCACUCAGCUACAAGCCGGUGAGGUCCAAGUGCAGCAAGGGGAGGGAAGCACCGGCGGAGGGAAGUGGACCGACUCUUGGCUCCUCCUUGUCGUUCAUAUUUUGGCCCAUUUUCCCGCCGGUAGGGAUUCCGUGGCCGAUCAGCUUGCCGUUCCCGUUCCCGCCACUGCCGUUUUUGCUUCCGCCGUCUCUUCCUUUCCCCUUUCCUCACUUUCCGUGGCCGGACCCUGCGUCGCUUCCGUUUACCAUCCCAUCGUGGCUUCUCCCGUUUCUAAAGCCGCCGUUCUUCCCUUUCCCUUUUCCGGCGCCAAAUCCACCCCCUGUUCUACUUUCUGAACCUUAAUUUGGAGAAAAAUUUGGACACUAGCAAAUCGUUGAAUGGAAGAUGGAGAUCGAUGUGACAGCAGACUAAUGGGCAAUUCCUAUGUGGAAAUUAAUCAUAACUAAUCAAAAACAGAUUUAUUGGGAAUCUGGAGGAGGUGGCGACUGAUGAACAAGGCCAAACGUAAAAGCCUGAAGGUGACUUUUGAUGGAACUGCUGGAGGACACUCUAGCGUAGGAAGGCAGGUCGUUUAGGAGGUGACUCAGGGUGCUAUGCCCAGGCUUGAAGAAUGAUUCUUCUUUCUCGGAAGACAGCGGCUUGGAAGAUUCAAGCAUGAGGAAGAUUCAAGCUUCCCACGCAUUAAAAUCACAAUUGAGGAAAUGGGCUAGCUGAGGACUCAAUGGAGGUCAAUCUCGAUCAUCAAGCUCUUGGAAUGAGGCUCAAUUUUUUUUUAUUAGGUAGUCCAUUUUCUCCUUACGAAGCACAAUUUAUGUACAUUUAGAAGGUUAAUCCCUAGAAUAUUCCUAUACAAGCUCAAUUAAACUUGUAUAACCACACAAAUCAUCUCUCACAGCUGCACAAACCAUUUAUCUAAAAAAAACAAAUGGAAGUGUCACGUGA